rnacentral:rRNA from 1 species
UACGGGGGGGGCAAGCGUUGUUCGGAAUUACUGGGCGUAAAGGGCCAGUAGGCGGCUUGGCAAGUCAGGUGUGAAACCUCCAGGCUCAACCUGGAGACGCCACUUGAUACUGCUAUGGCUAGAGUCCGGUAGGGGAGCAUGGAAUACCCGGUGUAGCGGUGAAAUGCGCAGAUAUCGGGUGGAACACCAGUGGCGAAGGCGGUGCUCUGGGCCGGAACUGACGCUGAAUGGCGAAAGCGUGGGUAGCAAACAGG